UACGGAGGGUGCAAGCGUUAUCCGGAUUCACUGGGUUUAAAGGGUGCGUAGGUGGCUAUUUAAGUCAGCGGUGAAAGCCCGCGGCUCAACCGUGGAAUUGCCAUUGAAACUGAAUAGCUUGAGUACAGUUGAAGUGGGCGGAAUAUGUCAUGUAGCGGUGAAAUGCUUAGAUAUGACAUAGAACACCGAUUGCGAAGGCAGCUCACUAAGCUGUAACUGACACUGAGGCACGAAAGCGUGGGUAGCGAACAGG
rnacentral:rRNA from 1 species